rnacentral:lncRNA from 1 species
CAAAGCAAGAAGAACAACCCACCAGCCCAUGGGCAGAAAUCCUGCCACCUCGGGGCUGGUUUACAAGGCCUGGUGUGCUCAUUCAUUCACCUGCCUGGCCCUGCAGGGCAGUGGUUUUGCUCUCCACUUUAGACUGGCUCUCCCAUUUUAUGGGCCAAGAGGGGUGGGAUGUUCCCAGCGCCACUCAGCCAUGCUGUCUGCCCCAUGUGGCCCUUCCUUUCCCUGGCAUCACUCCUCUGCCCCCACCUGCCCCUCCAUAUGCCAACCAUCAGCCCUGACCCUGUUUCAGGCCAGGGCUGUUCUCUCCAACCCACGACCGUCCUGGAUUCCUCUCACUCAGAGAAGCUGAGGUCAGGUGGGUGGGGCAAGGUGAGCCCCUGGCACCAGCUCUUCCCUGCAGGGUGUGCAGGACCUUUGUGGAAGCCACAGAUUUGGCUGUUUUAAGAACAAAGAGCUGGCUUUUUAAUUAUGCAGCCCAGACAGGCUCCCCGCAGGUGGGUGGAGAGGGAGCUCCCCAGGGCUGCCUAGCAGACGCCCUGAUUUCCACUCCUUGAAGUGGCCACUUGGAGAAGGAACCAGCAAGCAAUCAAGCAUGAAGGACAGAAAAACUCUCCAGGUGAGGACAAUCACUCUGCCCAGUGGGGAUGCAGGGUGUGGGGGGCUCUGCGGACAGCAGGGUGUGCCCAGGGCCUCCAGCUUGCAGUGCAGAAGCUGGGCUCCCAUGCUGGGCUCGGGUGGGGGAGGCAGGUGGAGAGGAACCCAGACAGGGCUUUGCAGCCAGGUUGGUUCUCAGAGUUGGAGUCUGGACUUCCUUGCUAACUUGCUCUCUGACCACAGGUGAGUCAUUUAAUCUCACUAAGCUUCAGUUUCAUCAACUGCAAAAUGGAGAUGACAAUUCCUCUUUCCUGUAAGGAGUGAAGGGAAUGAUGGCUGUCACGUACCGGGCACAGAGUGGGAAUCCCAAACAAGAAUGGGAGCUAACCUUGAUGAGGCACGCCCUACUCGAUGCAUGCCUGGCUCUGUGUUAAAUUCCUUGCAGUCACACAGCCAUUUAUUCUUCAAAUUGUAAUGCCGUGUGGCAGCUGGUGUUUUGCUGAAAUGAAAUCACAGCUUGCAAUGGGCAUUUGGCUCCCAUUCUUCUGAGCGUGGUGCUCCCACGCUGCUGGCUUCGUGUGGUGACUCACGGCCCACUCACGUCUCUAUGUUUGAAUGAGCAACCGGGAAAUCCUCCUCCAUAUGGAAACCACGUGCCCCUGUCUAGUUCCAUGGAUUUCAUGGGGCAGGAGGAAGUUGGGAUGUAGGGGAAGUUCUGGCAGACAGGACGAGGAGGCAGACAGAUCACCUCUUCAGGACCGCAGGGGAUUGUCAGCAAGAGAAAAAGGGAGACAAAUUCAGGGGGGCGCUGGGAGGCCAGGUGGGCGUGUCUUCACCUUCCCUCUUACGGGUGAGGAUGUUGUAGAGAUGCCCAGUUGAAAAGGCCCCUGGGAGCCCUGGAAGAUGGUGGCGCAUAAACCUCGAAGAGAGGCAUCCACAGCCCUCCCUGAACCAGGUGAGUGUGCAGAGUUCAAAAGUCUCCAUGGGCGUUCAGGAACACGUACAGAGGCUGCAGUCAGGAGGAGGAGGCUGCUUCGAGCCUGGACAUUUGCAACUGGAGUGAUGGGGGCAGGGGUCACCCUUCGCCUAGAAAAGCCCAGGCACAGCCCCACAGUCACCUGUCCAGGAAGCAGCCCAGGCCAGCCCCUCUGCAGCAGAGACCUGUGAGAACCCAGAAGAUGCCGUGUGGCCUGAGCCCAGCUCCCCUGCACCAGGCUACAGAUAUCUGCUCAGGGGUGCCUGCGGGUGCUUCUUACAGGGAGCAGCCCAGGAAGAUGCCUCAAUGACUAAGGGUCUAUCUACAAGACCCAGAGUCACCCAAAAGACUCUGGUCAAACCAGAAGAGGCUGCAAUGCCAUCAAUCCACAAAUUCAGGGUUUUUAUUCCUCUCCCCCCUCACACCCAGUGAGGCAGGGACUCUGGACAGUUAUAUGAAAUAAAAUGCUAUUUUUUCCUUUAU